GACGAACGCUGGCGGCGUGCUUAACACAUGCAAGUCGAACGCUGAAGCUUGGUGCUUGCACUGGGUGGAUGAGUGGCGAACGGGUGAGUAAUAAGUGAGUAACCUGCCCUUGACUCUGGGAUAAGCCUGGGAAACUGGGUCUAAUACUGGAUACGACAUGUCACCGCAUGGUGGUGUGUGGAAAGGGUUUUACUGGUUUUGGAUGGGCUCACGGCCUAUCAGCUUGUUGGUGGGGUAAUGGCUCACCAAGGCGACGACGGGUAGCCGGCCUGAGAGGGUGGACGGGCACCAUGGGACUGCGGCACGGACCAGACUCCUACGGGAGGCAGCAGUGGGGAAUAUUGCACAAUGGGCGGAAGCCUGAUGCAGCGACGCCGCGUGAGGGAUGACGGCCUUCGGGUUGUAAACCUCUUUCAGCACGGAAGAAGCGAAAGUGACGGUACGUGCAGAAGAAGCGCCGGCUAACUACGUG
rnacentral:rRNA from 1 species